rnacentral:lncRNA from 10 species
CCGCCUGCUGCUCCCUCUUCUGGGCCUCUCCUCCCUACUGUCUGCUCUCUUAGGCUGGUUUGUUAUGGCAUGAAAGAUGGCUCCGUGGAAUAAAGAUGUUUCCCCUCUGAUGAGCACAUUUGCAGAAGGAGGAGGAUUGACACCAGCCACACGUAUGUCUGCUGCUGACAAAUGUGCGCACGCCUUGGAGGGCGGGGCCAGGCAGGACAGAGCCGCCCAUGACAGGGGGACACCUCCUGUUCUAGAAUUCUUGGACUGAUUAUCCAUCUUGACAAAGGAGGCCUUGAAUCAAAUUUAAUCUGGUUUAGUGCACUUAUCAAAGAGACAUCGGAGAGAUCCCUUGUGCCUUCUGCCAUGUGAGUUAUAGUGAGAAGACAGCCAUCUACUAGGAAUCAGACCGUCAUCAGACACCAAAUCUGCCAGCACCUUGAUCUUAGAUUUCCCAGACUCCAGAACUGUUAGAAAUAAAUUUCUGUUGUUUAUAAGCCACCCAGUCUAUGGUAUUUUGUUAUAGCAGCCCGAAAAGACUAAGACAUAUGCCAAGCACCAUAGGAAAUGUGCUACCUGUUAUAGACACAUCUUCUAUGUGCCAUUAUCCACCCUUUAAAUAAAGGCCUUAGAAUGAGCUGGGCAAUGGAGGUGCGAAAUGUCAACCUUUGCCUACUCCUUGGCAUAGGGAAGGGGAG